rnacentral:rRNA from 1 species
AACGAACGUUGGCGGCGUGGAUUAGGCAUGCAAGUCGAACGAAGCAGUCUUGGUAGCAAUAUCGAGGCUGACUGAGUGGCGUAAGGGGCAGUAAUGCGUGGGUAACGUACCCCCGGGUUCGGGAUAGCCAUGGGAAACUAUGGGUAAUACCGGACGAUGUCGCGAGCGACCAAAGAUUUAUCGCCCGGGGAGCGGCUCACGUCGUAUUAGCUAGUUGGUGAGGUAACGGCCCACCAAGGCAAAGAUGCGUAGCGGGUGUGAGAGCACGACCCGCGCCACUGGCACUGAGACACUGGCCAGACACCUACGGGUGGCUGCAGUCGAGGAUCUUCCCCAAUGGACGCAAGUCUGAGGGAGCGACGCCGCGUGCGGGAUGAAGGCCUUCGGGUUGUAAACCGCUUUAGGGGGGGAGGAAGCCGCAAGGUUGACCUAUCCCCAAAAUAAGCACGGGCUAAGUUCGUGCCAGCAGCCGCGGUAAAAC